rnacentral:sRNA from 1 species
AUCGAUCCUCGGGUGAGUGCGGGCGCAGGUGGAGGGUGCCCGGCGCUGUCGCCACCGGCGUCCCAGCCUCGGGGCGGCGAACGGUCCCCGCGCCGCUCCCGGCCUCCCUGGCCGGGCGCUCAGCGCGUCUGGGAGGGGAAGGAAUUUCCUUUGCAGGAACUCAGGGGCUGGGGGUUCUCUGCUACUUAAGAGAUCCAGGAGUGGAGCCCGGACGCCCGAGCCUUCCUGCUUCGGGAUGGGGAUUACCGCGGAGCCUUAGCAACUGGGGUGGCCUCGAGGUGGUGGCAGGGCCGCCCCCUGCAGUCCGGAGGCGAACGCACGGACCGGGCCUCCGGAGGCAGGUUCGGCUGGAAGGAACCGCUCUCGCUUCGUCCUACACUUGCGCAAAUGUCUCCGGCUUGCUCCACUUAUCGGGCUCACCAAAUACAGCUGCAGUAUGAAUUCCAUCUUCUACACAACAGUAAACCAGAAUGUUCAUGUUCACAGUGUUCAUCUCCCAUCCUGUUGUCUAACGCACAUGGUUUUUUUAAACUUUUCUAAGAUUGCAUGA